ensembl:snoRNA
UGGACCAAUGAUGACCACUGGUGGCGUCUGAGUCAUGGACAAUGAACAGAACGCGUGUGGAACUCUGAAGUCCUA